CAACCUGCCCUUCCAGAGGGGGACAACAGUUGGAAACGACUGCUAAUACCGCAUAAUGUAUCCGGGAGGCAUCUCCUGGAUACCAAAGGAGAAAUCCGCUGAUGGAUGGGCUCACGUCUGAUUAGCUAGUUGGUGAGGUAACGGCUCACCAAGGCUGCGAUCAGUAGCCGGACUGAGAGGUUGAACGGCCACAUUGGGACUGAGAUACGGCCCAG
rnacentral:rRNA from 1 species